AACGAACGCUGGCGGCAGGCCUAACACAUGCAAGUCGAACGUGAAGCUGGAGCUUGCUCCAGUGGAAAGUGGCAGACGGGUGAGUAACGCGUGGGAACCUUCCCAGUGGUACGGAAUAACUCAGGGAAACUUGAGCUAAUACCGUAUAAGCCCUUAGGGGGAAAGAUUUAUCGCCAUUGGAUGGGCCCGCGUCGGAUUAGCUUGUUGGUAGGGUAACGGCUACCAAGGCUACGAUCCGUAGCUGGUCUGAGAGGAUGAUCAGCCACACUGGGACUGAGACACGGCCCAGACUCCUGCGGGAGGCAGCAGUGGGGAAUAUUGGACAAUGGGCGAAAGCCUGAUCCAGCCAUGCCGCGUGAGUGACGAAGGCCCUAGGGUUGUAAAGCUCUUUUGGCGGGGACGAUAAUGACGGUACCCGCAGAAUAAGCCCCGGCUAACUUCGUG
rnacentral:rRNA from 1 species